UACGAAGGGGGCUAGCGUUGUUCGGAAUCACUGGGCGUAAAGGGCGCGUAGGCGUGCGGUAAGUCACCUGUGAAACCUCUAGGCUCAACCUAGAGCCUGCAGGCGAAACUGCCGUGCUUGAGGGUGGGAGAGGUGCGUGGAAUUCCCGGUGUAGCGGUGAAAUGCGUAGAUAUCGGAGGAACACCUGUGGCGAAGGCGGUUCGUCUGGGCCUUACCUGACGCUGAGGAGCGAAAGCGUGGGAGCAA
rnacentral:rRNA from 1 species